rnacentral:rRNA from 1 species
GACGAACGCUGGCGGCGUGCCUAAUACAUGCAAGUAGAACGCUGAAGAGAGGAGCUUGCUCUUCUUGGAUGAGUUGCGAACGGGUGAGUAACGCGUAGGUAACCUGCCUUGUAGCGGGGGAUAACUAUUGGAAACGAUAGCUAAUACCGCAUAACAAUGGAUGACACAUGUCAUUUAUUUGAAAGGGGCAAUUGCUCCACUACAAGAUGGACCUGCGUUGUAUUAGCUAGUAGGUGAGGGAAUGGCUCACCUAGGCGACGAUACAUAGCCGACCUGAGAGGGUGAUCGGCCAACCUGGGACUGGGACACGGCCCAGACUCCUACGGGAGGCAGCAGUAGGGAAUCUUCGGCAAUGGGGGGAACCCUGACCGAGCAACGCCGCGUGAGUGAAGAAGGUUUUCGGAUCGUAAAGUUCUGUUGUAAGUCAAGAACGAGGGUGAGAGUGGAAAGUUCACACUGUGACGGUAGCUUACCAGAAAGGGACGGCUAACUACGUG